CUAAUUUCUUUUACUCUCAAUGGCAAGGAAUGUAUUGUUUCAUACAGAAACUAGUAACGCAUAACGUGCUGGUACAAAUUUGUCCAAGGAAUUAAAAGCUCCCAAUACAAACAUCAGAGUUUCCAUAUCUCAAUACGUAUGUCCAAAUUAGUGGUAUACAAACCCUCAAUGCCAUCACUCAGCCUUGGCUGGAAUGUGGUUGCCACCAGUUGCAAUUUUGUACACAUAGAACGCAGUCAUGAGAGCACUUAUCCCAGUAAUAAUACCAGCAGGCAUAAUCUUGGAGGUUUGCGCAUAACGCUGUCCCAUGACGAAUGUCAGUGCUGCUGCACAAACAGUUUCGAUUGCAAAAGCAAGAUAGGAGUUCUUUCGCCUCCCAAAAGCCUUGAGACUCAAAUAUCCAGCUAAGACGAGGAGCAACCCAGUGCCCACUCCUCCACCCAACGAUGCCAUGCUCCCCUUCUUGACAUACCCGACCAGUCCUCCUACCACCAGAAUUAGCCCGUAAGGGAUCGUGAAGCAGAAAUCGUGCAUUUUUCUUUGCUCAAAGUAAACUUGGGUUUCCCGGAUCAAACAAAGAAAAAGUCUCUCCACUGCGUAUAUAGUUU
rnacentral:misc_RNA from 1 species